UCUUAAGGUCACACACCCUGGAACGCCCGAUCCGUCUGAUCUUGGAAGGUAAGCAGUGGUGCCUGGUAGUACUUGAUGGGAGACCACCUGGGAAUACCAGCGUGCUGUAGCUU
ensembl:rRNA 5S_rRNA 5S ribosomal RNA